AGAGAGAGAAAGCUUAGAAGAAGGAUCUGUGACUUUAGAGAGAGAAGGAGCGAACUCUGAACUGAUAAAGCAAUAUUCCUUCACACAGAGAGAGAGAGAUAGAGGACGGCAAUGGUGGCUUGAGACCAGCUGCAUUAUACGUUACGUAACACCAGACCGAGCUGCAGAUAUUUGCAUAGGCUGAGAGAGAGAGAGAGAGGGAGAGGGAGGGAAUAUAUUCUCUGCUGCGAGCUUUGGCGGUGCGGUCGAUCGAGGGGGAGCUAUGGCGAUUGAUGAAUUGGAGACGUCGGAGGACGAGAGGAGGAAGACAACGAGGGUCAAGUCUCUCAAGAAGAAGGCCAUGAAUGCUUCGACUAAGAUCACUCACUCCUUGAGAAAGCGGAGCAGGCGGGUCGCGGAUUGCAGGUAUGCCGCGAUUUGCAGGUAUGCCGCUAUCUCGGUCGAGGACGUGAGGGACUCGGAGGAGGAGGAAGCUGUGAAUGCUUUUCGUCGGGCGCUGAUUUCCCGAGACCUGCUUCCGCCUCGUCUUGACGACUACCAUACCAUGUUGAGGUUUCUGAAGGCCAGGAAGUUUGACCUUGGGAAAACCAUGCACAUGUGGGAAGAAAUGCUCAAUUGGAGGAAAGAGAAUCGUAUAGACACUAUUGCACAGGAUUUUGUAUAUGAUGAAUAUGAAGAAGUUCAAUCAUGUUAUCCUCAUGGUUACCAUGGUGUAGACAAAGAGGGCCGACCCGUUUAUAUUGAAAGACUAGGAAAACUCGAGCCUAGCAAGCUAAUGGCUAUCACCACAGUGGAGCGAUUUCUGAAGUACCAUAUUCAAGGGUUUGAAAAAGCCUUUGAUGAGAAGUUUCCUGCCUGUUCCAUUGCUGCUAAAAGGCAUAUUGAUUCCACCACCACGAUUUUGGAUGUCCAAGGAUUGAAUAUAAUGACCUUUGGAAAAGUUGCCCAUGACCUUGUUAUGCGCAUGCAGAAAAUCGAUGGUGACAACUAUCCCGAGACGUUGCAUCAGAUGUUCAUUGUAAAUGCUGGUCAUGGAUUUAGGCUCCUCUGGAACACAGCAAAAGGAUUUCUUGACCCGAAGACCACAUCAAAGAUACAUGUCUUGGGUAACAAGUUCCAAAGCAAGCUGUUGGAUGUUAUAGAUUCAAGCCAAUUGCCUGAUUUUCUUGGUGGAACUUGCACAUGUGCAAAUAAAGGUGGAUGCCUCAGAUCUGACAAAGGACCGUGGAAUGAUGCAGAAAUAAUGAAGCUGGUGCGGACUGGGGAAGCAAUAUACUUGAGGAAAAUGAAAGAUUAUUCUGAUUGCUUUGAGUUGGAAGGGGAUCUCUUUCCCACUAAGAUUGCCAGUAAUGAAGUAUCUUUUGCAGGAUCACCAGAACUGACAACAAGUACUUCUUCCCACGUGCCAACAUCAAUUAAUUUCGAGGAAGAAAGGAUAAACACUGAGGCUUCUCCCCAUGAUGAAAUUGAGCCUGCCACAGAUGCUUCCCAGAAUGAAGUUGGCAAUUCUCCAGAUGACUCUAUUGAUUAUGAUAUCCAGAGGAGGACAGUACCUCAAGUUGGAAGUUCAGCUGUUUUCUUCAUGAUGAAGUUGUUAGCGUUUGUGUACCUUCUAUUUCACCGGAUUGGUAGAGUAUUUUCAGUUAGACAUGCACCCAGAGAGGUAGAAGACCAAACCAGAUCCCUAACAGGGGGGGAUUCAGGACUACCUCAGGUGUCGCAUAGCAAUUCUCAGGUGGUAGAACAAGAAGCCCUCGAGCCAUGCUGGCAGAGGCUGCAACAUCUGGAAGCGGUAGUUACAGAACUUGUAAAUAGACCUAAGAAAAUCCCACCAGAGAAAGAGGAUAUGCUUCUUGAGUCACUGAGCCGCAUCAGAUCUAUAGAGUAUGAUCUGCAGAAGACAAAGAAGGCGCUGUUUGCUACCACGUCAAAGCAAGUGGAGCUAGCGCGGUCACUGGAAAGCUUGAAGGAGAACAGCUUGGCAACAACCACGACGUGUUGGCCAAGACCAUGUGGAUCUUUUCCACCGGACGGAUGAUAGCCACCAAAUUUGUUUUGGUCAUACUGAGUUUGCAAUCUCAAGCCCCCAUUCAUUGGCUGUACUGACAAGACUUGCUGUAGGUCUGAAGCUCUGCAUGGGGGGAACCGGCGCGGUUGCCGUUCCAAUAGGUUAUCAAGCUUUGGAGUAGGAAGCGGUCAUCCAACAUAGACUUAAUCGAUGUGGAGCCCGACUUCUUUCGCACCUAGGCGCAGCAGUGAGCUUGUUUGCUGUGAUGUUUUCUUCACCUGUACAGAGUACGAUGGCUUUUGCCACCCUCCCCGCUUACUGAUCGAUGCUGUUACAUACAAACCACAGUCGAAAUUGUGCGAUGGUGCAAUUUUUAUGUCGACUUAAUCCAAAUAAGAGUGAGCAUUGUUAAUAUUUGGCUGGUACGAUGUCACAUUGAUUACUUACUAUUUAUAUGGAAACUUUUCUUUACAA